UACGUAGGGGUGCAAGCGUUGUCCGGAAUUAUUGGGCGUAAAAGAGCUCGUAGGCGGUCUGUCGCGUCGGCUGUGAAAUCCCGAGGCUCAACCUCGGGUCUGCAGUCGAUACGGGCAAACUGGAGUACUGCAGGGGAGACUGGAAUUCCUGGUGUAGCGGUGGAAUGCGCAGAUAUCAGGAGGAACACCGGUGGCGAAGGCGGCUCUCU
rnacentral:rRNA from 1 species